rnacentral:rRNA from 1 species
CCUACGGGUGGCAGCAGUGGGGAAUCUUGCGCAAUGGGCGAAAGCCUGACGCAGCAACGCCGCGUGAGGGAUGAAGGUCUUCGGAUCGUAAACCUCUGUCAGCAGGGAAGAACGGUCACUGUGCUAAUCAGCAGUGAAUUGACGGUACCUACAAAGAAAGCACCGGCUAACUCCGUGCCAGCAGCCGCGGUAAUACGGAGGGGGCGAGCGUUAAUCGGAAUUACUGGGCGUAAAGCGCUCGUAGGCGGUAUGUCAAGUCAAGUGUGAAAUCCCCGCGCUCAACGGGGGAAGUGCCUUUGAAACUGGGAAACUUGAGUGUGGGAGAGGAUAGUGGAAUUCCAGGUGUAGGAGUGGAAUCCGUAGAUAUAUGGAGGAACACCAGUGGCGAAGGCGACUAUCUGGCACACAACUGACGCUGAGAAGCGAAAGCGUGGGUAGCAAACAGGAUUAGAUACCCCAGUAGUC